CUUAACACAUGCAAGUCGAGGGGCAUCAGGAAGAAAGCUUGCUUUCUUUGCUGGCGACCGGCGCACGGGUGAGUAACACGUAUCCAACCUGCCCUUUACUCGGGGAUAGCCUUUCGAAAGAAAGAUUAAUACCCGAUGGCAUAAUGAUUCCGCAUGGUUUCAUUAUUAAAGGAUUCCGGUAAAGGAUGGGGAUGCGUUCCAUUAGGUUGUUGGUGAGGUAACGGCUCACCAAGCCUUCGAUGGAUAGGGGUUCUGAGAGGAAGGUCCCCCACAUUGGAACUGAGACACGGUCCAAACUCCUACGGGAGGCAGCAGUGAGGAAUAUUGGUCAAUGGGCGCUAGCCUGAACCAGCCAAGUAGCGUGAAGGAUGAAGGCUCUAUGGGUCGUAAACUUCUUUUAUAUAAGAAUAAAGUGCAGUAUGUAUACUGUUUUGUAUGUAUUAUAUGAAUAAGGAUCGGCUAACUCCGUGCCAGCAGCCGCGGUAAUACGGAGGAUCCGAGCGUUAUCCGGAUUUAUUGGGUUUAAAGGGAGCGUAGGUGGACUGGUAAGUCAGUUGUGAAAGUUUGCGGCUCAACCGUAAAAUUGCAGUUGAUACUGUCAGUCUUGAGUACAGUAGAGGUGGGCGGAAUUCGUGGUGUAGCGGUGAAAUGCUUAGAUAUCACGAAGAACUCCGAUUGCGAAGGCAGCUCACUGGACUGCAACUGACACUGAUGCUCGAAAGUGUGGGUAUCAAACAGGAUUAGAUACCCUGGUAGUCCACACAGUAAACGAUGAAUACUCGCUGUUUGCGAUAUACAGUAAGCGGCCAAGCGAAAGCAUUAAGUAUUCCACCUGGGGAGUACGCCGGCAACGGUGAAACUCAAAGGAAUUGACGGGGGCCCGCACAAGCGGAGGAACAUGUGGUUUAAUUCGAUGAUACGCGAGGAACCUUACCCGGGCUUAAAUUGCAGUGGAAUGAUGUGGAAACAUGUCAGUGAGCAAUCACCGCUGUGAAGGUGCUGCAUGGUUGUCGUCAGCUCGUGCCGUGAGGUGUCGGCUUAAGUGCCAUAACGAGCGCAACCCUUAUCUUUAGUUACUAACAGGUUAUGCUGAGGACUCUAGAGAGACUGCCGUCGUAAGAUGUGAGGAAGGUGGGGAUGACGUCAAAUCAGCACGGCCCUUACGUCCGGGGCUACACACGUGUUACAAUGGGGGGUACAGAAGGCAGCUAGCGGGUGACCGUAUGCUAAUCCCAAAAGCCUCUCUCAGUUCGGAUCGAAGUCUGCAACCCGACUUCGUGAAGCUGGAUUCGCUAGUAAUCGCGCAUCAGCCACGGCGCGGUGAAUACGUUCCCGGGCCUUGUACACACCGCCCGUCAAGCCAUGGGAGCCGGGGGUACCUGAAGUACGUAACCGCAAGGAUCGUCCUAGGGUAAAACUGGUGACUGGGGCUAAGUCA
rnacentral:rRNA from 1 species